GUGUCAGCAGCCGCGGUAAUACGAGGGGUGCAAGCGUUAUUCGGAUUUAUUGGGCGUAAAGGGUGCGUAGAUGGUUUGUUAAGUCUGCUGUCAAAUUCUCUGACCUAAUCGGAGGUCGGCGGUGGAAACUGGCAAUCUAGAGUGUGGAAGAGAGGAGUGGAAUUCCCGGAGUAGCGGUAAAAUGCACAGAUCUCGGGAGGAACACCAAUGGCGAAGGCAGCUCCUUGGUCCACUACUGACAUUGAGGCACGAAAGCGUGGGGAGCAAACAGGAUUAGAUACCCCCGUAGUCC
rnacentral:rRNA from 1 species